UAGGGAAUCUUCGGCAAUGGACGAAAGUCUGACCUAGCAACGCCGCGUGAGUGAAGAAGGUUUUCGGAUCGUAAAACUCUGUUGUUAGAGAAGAACAAGGACGUUAGUAACUGAACGUCCCCUGACGGUAUCUAACCAGAAAGCCACGGCUAACUACGUGCCAGCAGCCGCGGUAAUACGUAGGUGGCAAGCGUUGUCCGGAUUUAUUGGGCGUAAAGCGAGCGCAGGCGGUUUCUUAAUUCUGAUGUGAAAGCCCCCGGCUCAACCGGGUAGGGUCAUUGGAAACUGGGAGACUUGAGUGCAGAAGAGGUGAGUGGAAUUCCAUGUGUAGCGGGGACAUGCGUAGAUAUAUGGAGGAACACCAGUGGCGAAGGCGGCUCUCUGUUCUGUAACUGACGCUGAGGCUCGAAAGCGUGGGGAGCAAACAGG
rnacentral:rRNA from 1 species